GUGUCCAGUAAAGCAAUGGAUAGCGUAUUGGACUUCUAAUCCAAAGGUGGUGGGUUCGAAUCCUACCUGAGAUA